rnacentral:rRNA from 1 species
AUUGAACGCUAGCGGGAUGCUUUACACAUGCAAGUCGAACGAGUGGCGGACGGGUGAGUAAUAUAUCGGAACGUGCCCAGUAGCGGGGGAUAACUACUCGAAAGAGUGGCUAAUACCCCAUACCAUUGGAUGGGCCGAAAUGGGAUUGGCUAGUUGGUGGGGUAACGGCUCACCAAGGCAACGAUCCGUAGCUGGUUUGAGAGGACGACCAGCCACACUGGGACUGAGACACGGUCCAGACUCCUACGGGAGGCAGCAGUGGGGAAUUUUGGACAAUGGGGGAAACCCUGAUGCAGCCAUCCCGCGUGUAUGAGAAGGCCUUCGGGUUGUAAAGUACUUUUGGCAGAGAAGCGGUACCUGCAGAAUAAGCACCGGCUAACUACGUGCCAGCAGCCGCGGUAAUAC